GACGAACGCUGGCGGCGUGCUUAACACAUGCAAGUCGAACGGUGAAGCGCCUUCCUUUUUGGUGGGUGUGGAUGAGUGGCGAACGGGUGAGUAACACGUGAGUAACCUGCCCCCUUCUUCUGGAUAACCGCAUGAAAGUGUGGCUAAUACGGGAUAUUCUGGGUCUGUCGCAUGAUGGGUCUGGGAAAGAUAUUGUUUCGGUGGGGGAUGGGCUCGCGGCCUAUCAGCUUGUUGGUGGGGUGAUGGCCUACCAAGGCGGUGACGGGUAGCCGGCCUGAGAGGGUGGACGGUCACACUGGGACUGAGACACGGCCCAGACUCCUACGGGGGGCAGCAGUGGGGAAUAUUGCACAAUGGGCGCAAGCCUGAUGCAGCGACGCCGCGUGAGGGAUGGAGGCCGUCGGGUUGUGAACAUCUUUCGCCAGUGAAGCAGGCCUGCCUCGUUUGUGGGUGGGUUGACGGUAGCUGGAUAAGAAGCGCCGGCUAACUACGUG
rnacentral:rRNA from 1 species